rnacentral:misc_RNA from 1 species
AAGACGAAGAUAGGAAAGAUGCAGAAAAUCUUUGCUGAAUCUGAUCACAAAGGAAUUUCUGGCGAUGCACUAAAUGUUUCAAGCGAAGGGGAUUUCUCCAAAUUCUCGCCUGUUGGCGAUAGAGGGGAUGGUCAGUAUGCUGAUACGGAUUCAAAUGCCAAUGAAAUGUUGGUCGACCCAGAGAGCAGAGUUACUUCCCAGAUUGGUGUAGAUAACUUGAGUCAUGAAGAUCUGAAUGGUUCCAGUCUAAACAGCUCCGACAGUAGUCAUUCUGGAGCUCUUUGGGAUGUCUUCCGGAGGCAGGAUGUGCCGAUGCUUAUCGAGUAUCUAAGAUUUCAUUGGAAGAAACACGGAGAUUCAGACCAUGUAACGGAUGAUUCUGUGCCAAGUCCUCUUUACGAUGGAAUAGUAUAUCUGAAUGAGCAUCAUAAGAGAAAGUUGAAAGAGUUAUUU